AGAGUUUGAUCCUGGCUCAGGACGAACGCUGGCGGCGUGCCUAAUACAUGCAAGUCGAGCGGACAGAAGGGAGCUUGCUCCCGGAUGUUAGCGGCGGACGGGUGAGUAACACGUGGGUAACCUGCCUGUAAGACUGGGAUAACUCCGGGAAACCGGAGCUAAUACCGGAUAGUUCCUUGAACCGCAUGGUUCAAGGAUGAAAGACGGUUUCGGCUGUCACUUACAGAUGGACCCGCGGCGCAUUAGCUAGUUGGUGAGGUAACGGCUCACCAAGGCGACGAUGCGUAGCCGACCUGAGAGGGUGAUCGGCCACACUGGGACUGAGACACGGCCCAGACUCCUACGGGAGGCAGCAGUAGGGAAUCUUCCGCAAUGGACGAAAGUCUGACGGAGCAACGCCGCGUGAGUGAUGAAGGUUUUCGGAUCGUAAAGCUCUGUUGUUAGGGAAGAACAAGUGCAAGAGUAACUGCUUGCACCUUGACGGUACCUAACCAGAAAGCCACGGCUAACUACGUGCCAGCCGCCGCGGUAAUUC
rnacentral:rRNA from 1 species